UGCAGAUGGGGGGCGGGUGGGGGUCGACAGAUUCUCCAAAACUUUCCCUUUUCGGGAUUUGGUAUACUGGAGGGAAGACUGUGGCACUGGAGCUGGACCCUCUCAAAAUUUUUUGGUGACAGAUGGAAGAUUUGUGAGGAUCCCGAAGGCCAGGAUGGGGAGUUUGUUUCUAUCUUUGGUUAUCUAGCUGUAUGAGUGUCAAUAAGCCGUCAUAAAGCUAGAUAACCGAAAGUAGGAAUCACUUCCAAGGCGUCACCUUUGGUACAUCCAUGGAGGGAGAAGACCAGUCUAACACCCCAGUGCCCGUCAGCUCCGCCUCUGACUUUCAUUCCAGCUACACAGGGGUUAAAAUGUCACAGCAGAAAGCUGUUGGAGGAGAAUUCAAAAUGGCCUCCGGUAAGCCAGAGAGAUACUCCUCUUUCUGUUUUCAAGUGAGUUAGGACAGAAGACUGAAUCCCCUUCCCUAUGUGGGUUAUGUAGCUCCGCAAAUAGGAAGCAGAAGAAGCAUCAGUAUCAACAGCUUGUUAAUUUGAAUGUGCGUUUGAGAAUCUCAUCACCGUGUGAUACCCUCGCUAAUCAUGAGAAUAUACGAGGCCUAAUUGAGAUGAAAAUUUGGGCCCAAACGACAUCAGUUUCUUCAUUCGCCACAAGCAAGAAACUGCUUUGUACUUGGAAGCCAUUUUGAUGGAAUCAAAAGAACUCUUUAAGAUGGCCGCUUGGGCAUGAGGUUAAAAGAAGAUCAAGGGAUCACAAGACUUCAUCACAAUCUCCUCAGACUGCUGGGAGCUUUUCAGUAGUUGUGCAGCCUUUAUUCGUGCAAUUCAAGCAUGAAAAAUACAUCUUCCAGCUAUAAUGGACUAGAUAUCACAAAAGCAUGGACUGUUUGCACAAUGAUGGACUGCUUCUCAUAUAAGAUAUUAUCUACAAUGAGGUCCCCAUGAUGACAAACUGAAAUUACAGUUUCACUACAGCUGACAAGCAAAUCUGUGGGACUGCUUCAGCAGAGAGUCCUGUGCUGGCCAUGCAUAAUACAUGACAAUGUUUUAGCGUAUCCACUGCACCCUUUCCUACUAAGAAGAUCGAAGAAAAAGUGGAUUCACAAAGGAGAUUAUCUGCCAGGCACCUCUUUCCAUUGACCAUGUUUUAGGCAAAUGUGUGGCGAAAAUCCUCUUCAAACACCUUCAUAAGAAACUAUGCUAAGGUUUUAUCUAAGCAGUAUUCUACAGGAAGCAUUCCAUUAUUUUUAAACAGGUUUUAAAGAGAUAUCUCCUGUGAAAUGCUUUCUAAGUUUGUGGGUCACAAAGACUGACCAGCAAUUCUGUACUUGGGAGACCUUACGUGAAAAAACAACAUGGGGUCAGAUGCUGCAUACACCAUCUUCAUGUUGAGGCAGCAGGUCGACUGCAGGACUCUCCCUGUGAGGCCCGUCUUGAGGACUUGUGCUGCAAAUUCUUCCUAGAGUUUAUAGGAGUUUAUAGGAGAAAUAAAAGUUUUGAGAGAAAACUUAACCAACAGAUAAUAAUAAUCCUCAUAAGUGACUAUUUUAAAGCUAUUUUAUCUUAUACAUAUUAGUAAACAUUGUCCUUUUACCUCUUUUACCUUGGGCCACCAUUUUGUGAUGUUCCCUCACUGAUCACCUGACAGGAAAUAGAUUUAGGCUUUCACUGUAACAGGAAGAAGUGUGGGCGUAAAAGUACAAGUACAUGUGCCCCUGGUCUGUGUGUGAGCACAGUGCCUAUUACAACCCAAAGAGACAGACUUUGGAGCUUCAAAUGGCAGUGUAUCGAAAUGGGAUUAUCCCAAAACGUUUUAUGAAAAUACAAGACUGGACUCUUUUGAAAUGACAAUCAUUUUGUAAAUAUAAAGCUGAAAGGCGUAACCACAAGUGGGUUUAAAGUCAGUAUCAUGUGACACAUCACCUCCAUUUUAUGAACUGCCAGUUUUGAGUAUGAUACAAAAGUGUAUUAAACCAAAUAACAUCAGUGUUGUUUCUGCUGUCUGUAUGUGAAUCCCUGAAAUGAAACAGAUCUGGAAAUAUUCACUCACACCACCAUAGUACUUCAAAAAAUAUGUCCCAGACAGAUCCUUUCACGUCUUUUAAUUUGAAGGCCUCUAUAUAUACUGUAUGGGAGAGUGUAGUAACACACAAAUAACAAUUAUUGUUAUUCCUUUCAAUUUCACAUGUGUUGUCAUACAAGAACUGCAAUUCUAUAUUACAAUACUGUUAUUGCAUUCAGAUUCUUUGUAAAAUAAGUUAUGUAUCAUUAAUUGGUUUGUGAACUGCCUAUUGUCAACUUUAUAUACAGCAUGUCCUUGAAUUUUUGAGAAAUAAACUGUGCUAUUAUAUGA